rnacentral:rRNA from 1 species
AGACUUUGAUCCUGGCUCAGGAUGAACGCUAGCGGCAGGCCUAAUACAUGCAAGUCGAACGGUAGAUGAUCUUUCGGGAUUAUUGAGAGUGGCGCACGGGUGCGUAACGCGUAUGCAACCUACCUUGUACUGGGGGAUAGCCCGGGGAAACUCGGAUUAAUACCCCAUGGUAUCAUAAAUAGGCAUCUGUUUAUGAUUAAAGAUUUAUUGGUAUGAGAUGGGCAUGCGUAGGAUUAGCUAGUUGGUAGGGUAAGGGCCUACCAGGGCGACGAUCCUUAGGGGUUCUGAGAGGAAGGUCCCCCACACUGGCACUGAGAUACGGGCCAGACUCCUACGGGAGGCAGCAGUAGGGAAUAUUGGGCAAUGGUCGGAAGACUGACCCAGCCAUGCCGCGUGCAGGAAGAAGGCCUUCUGGGUUGUAAACUGCUUUUAUCAGGGAAGAAAAGGCCCAUGCGUGGGACAUUGCCGGUACCUGAUGAAUAAGCACCGGCUA